ensembl:lncRNA LINC00343 long intergenic non-protein coding RNA 343
AAACAUUCUUUUAACUCUUCCGUGAUAUUUUCUGAAGCUCUGAAAGAAUUUCCCCUUUUAAAGAAUUGACGUAUAAAAUAUAUGCACUCUCCCACUAGAGAUACGAGCUACUUUAGUCCCGUAUUUUAUUAUUGCAGGGAUAGAUAAGUGGACAGAUGCUGUCAAGCAUUCAAAUAAUCGACCUAUAAAGGGCUAGACAUAGAAAGACAUAAUUUCCCUGACCUCUCCAACACGCAGUCUAUUCUCACUCUGGAGGAUGAAAUGCAAAGACUCAACUCCAAGAAUGAAGUACCCUUGGCUGUGUACAUUUGAGUAAAGAGAGCACUAUAAAAUCAAAAACCAAUGAAAUGGUUUCCAGAACACAGAACUAUUAAGCUUAAGAAAAGGACAGAAGGAACUGAAGAGAGAGGAACUGUUUUGGAGCAUCACACUUCCACCUCAGAAGAAAUAAGGAAGGAAGGAGGAGGGUGUUCCCACGGCUCUUCAACCAGGCCGGCUCUUCAGCCUACAUCCCCAUCUCAUCAAGUAAAAGGGAUUUUUCAACUGGACCAACCAGAUGGUUUAACAGUGCACUCCCACACCAUUCAACUACGCAAGGGAGAUACACUUAACAUAUGCAGUCGUAUAACACCUACUAACAUUUUCAAACAUUAAACCUUUAAAAAAGAGUUCUAAAGAAAUAGAAGCUUGAAGUAUCAUCUCUCAAGUAUAUAGACACUACUUCAUGGUGUGGUAAUAUAUGCAUAUAGAAGCUAGUAAACACCUCCAGGAGAUGCAAAAGGAAUUAGAACUGCCACAAGGUGCAAGCAAAACCUUGAGCUUCUUUAAAAUAUGAAGACUUCGAAGUUAUUUAUCCAAACCAACCUGAUCAUUUCUUAAGAGUGAAUAUACCUUGGAAGACGUGUCCUGCCUUUAGUAGCGUCACAAUGGAUUACAUCCUCUAUAAAGCAGUCUGGGGUGAGAAAAUCGAAUUUGGACACCGUUGAGGAGACUAUUGCAGUCAUCCAAGCUCAAGAUGGUGGAGCUUCAUCCUUGAGAAUAACCAAUGGGGAUAGAUUUAAGAGACACUUAGAGUCUGCAGCCAACAGGGCUGAAUGAGCAAUGGUGUCAGCUUCCUCAAACCACACAGCUGACCGUGGAGAAAGAGAUCGUUUGUCAAAAGACAGUUGAGGUCCUGUUACCGGGGGGAAAAAUGCCAGAAACAAAAGUUCUGUUUUUCCUCUUCUAAUCCUUCACCCAUCUGAGCUAAAGUCUAGACCUAAGGAGGCUACUAAUUCAGGGAUCGAGUAAUCUGCCAAGCAAGAGUUUAUUCAAGCACAGUUUGAAAUAAAGGUUUCAAAUGCAUAGCCUGUCGAUACUUUGGAAGGAUUCUCAUCAUAACGAGUAUGCAAUUUGCUAUAAAGAAGAAUGCCCAUUACGGACUAAAUGUUUAUGUCCUCCUAAAAUUCAUAUGUUGAAGGCCUAACUCUCAAUGUGAUGAUUAUGUGGAGAUGGUGCCUUUGGGAGGAUAUGGGAGGACACCUGAGACGGCAGGCCAGAAGUCACUCAGUAGGAGAAACAUCCGUUAGAAGUAAUAAUGUGGGAUUGCUGAAGUAAAGACUAUAGGAAGAAAAAAGUGUCUGUGUGUAGGAAACGGAAAGGGAGAGAAAAAUACACUGAGAUGGUAAAGUAAGGAAGUGGAAGAUCAGCAGAAUGUGCAGAUGCCAAGCCAUCCAAGAAAAUCAUCUCUUGUGAUUGUUGCGAAGUCAACUAGCUAAUGUGACUCACUGCUAGGCUGUUGGAUCUGAGACUUAUGUGGGAUAAUUUAGAAACUUGCUAGUGUCUUAAGAUCAAUUACUCACCAAUGAGAGUGGCAUUGAACUGUGAAUGUUCCUCCUAGAUUUUCCAUGAAGACUAAUGGUUUUGUCUUGUCUUGAAUUUGUUUUAAUUACAAUUUGUAUACAUCCUGUUCCACCCUGAAAUUUUUAUUUUCCAAAUGGUUUUUCAUUUAAAGAGACUAAAUAAAGGUUCUGACUGAGUUGUA